rnacentral:rRNA from 1 species
UACGGAGGGGGCGAGCGUUAUUCGGAAUUAUUGGGCGUAAAGGGCGCGUAGGCGGCUGUACAAGUCAAAGGUGAAAUCCCUCGGCUCAACUGAGGAACUGCCUUUGAAACUGUACGGCUUGAGGCCGGGAGGGGGUAGCGGAAUUCCCAGUGUAGCGGUGAAAUGCGUAGAUAUUGGGAGGAACACCAGUGGCGAAGGCGGCUACCUGGACCGGUUCUGACGCUGAUGCGCGAAAGCGUGGGUAGGAAACAGG